AGGGUGGUGUUGUUACACCUACACUCCCUGCUUUUACAUUCACAUUCAAUCAGCCCAACUAUCGUCAGCCUAGUCACUGAUAACCUCCACUUAGAUGGAGAUAAAAGGACCAGACGUUGUGUGCGUGCAUUACGGUGUCUGUAACCACACCCCUUCUCCUGUUGAGGUGCUUUCCUGAUUUGCCGGCCCUGUAUUCCUAGCCUUCCCUCUGACGCUCGCCUUCGGUAUGUCCUUGUCCCUGCAUGUUCAGUGAGGAACCGUACUUCGCCGCUGACCUCGUCGUUCCUGUGAUAACCGUCUGAUAACUGUCUGAUAACUGCCUGAUCACAAAGGUGCUGCUGUUUUGUUUAAGCCUGACAAUGCGUGUGUGAUUCAGCAUGCUCGUGACUCUGCCAAACUGUUGUUGUGCAUGCUGGUCUGACAUAUAUCUGAGCUGGGUUUUCGUUUUCUUUGUUAUGUUCUUUUUGUCUGAGCAUUGUACCAUCUUGUCCACUCCAAUGGAGUAAUGCUUCUGUCUAGUGUGUUUUCUGUCUGCAUGUGACUGGGCAUAAGGCUGGUGGUGCUGUAGCUGUCCUGGUGCAUGCUUGUUGUUUGUUCUGGUCUGUAGUUAGCCUCGAUACAUGAUUGCUAUUACUGUCUGAGUGUUUCAUGCUUAGGAUGGACUGUUGAUAUCCCC